GCCGAGGUGGUGAAAUUGGUAGACACGCACGCUUGAGGGGCGUGUGGAGCAAUCCGUGCGAGUUCGAAUCUCGCCCUCGGCACCA
rnacentral:tRNA from 1 species